rnacentral:rRNA from 1 species
CAGUCGCCGCGGGAAUACGAAGGGGGCUAGCGUUGCUCGGAAUGACUGGGCGUAAAGGGCGCGUAGGCGGUUCGUACAGUUGGAUGUGAAAUUCCUGGGCUUAACCUGGGGGCUGCAUUCAAUACGUGCGGGCUUGAGUGUGGAAGAGGGUUGUGGAAUUCCCAGUGUAGAGGUGAAAUUCGUAGAUAUUGGGAAGAACACCGGUGGCGAAGGCGGCGACCUGGUCCUUUACUGACGCUGAGGCGCGAAAGCGUGGGGAGCAAACAGGAUUAGAUACCCCGGUAGUCCCUGUCUCUUAUAC